rnacentral:rRNA from 1 species
UACGUAGGGUGCAAGCGUUAAUCGGAAUUACUGGGCGUAAAGCGUGCGCAGGCGGCUUUGCAAGACAGUUGUGAAAUCCCCGGGCUCAACCUGGGAACUGCAUCUGUGACUGCAUAGCUAGAGUACGGUAGAGGGGGAUGGAAUUCCGCGUGUAGCAGUGAAAUGCGUAGAUAUGCGGAGGAACACCGAUGGCGAAGGCAAUCCCCUGGACCUGUACUGACGCUCAUGCACGAAAGCGUGGGGAGCAAACGGG